GGGGGUGAAUGGUUCGCUGAGUGCGGCGUGAUACUCCCCGCACGCAGACACGGCGGUUCGAUUCCGCCCACCUCCACCA
rnacentral:tRNA from 1 species